GCCCGGGUGGCGAAAUUGGUAGACGCAACGGACUUAAAAUCCGUCGGUAGCAAUACCGUGCCGGUUCAAGUCCGGCCCCGGGCACCA
rnacentral:tRNA from 2 species